rnacentral:rRNA from 1 species
GACCCAGACUCCUACGGGAGGCUGCAGUGGGGGAUAUUGCACAAUGGGGGAAACCCUGAUGCAGCGACGCCGCGUGGGCGAAGAAGUAUUUCGGUAUGUAAAGCCCUAUCAGCAGGGAAGAAGAAAUGACGGUACCUGAGUAAGAAGCCCCGGCUAACUACGUGCCAGCAGCCGCGGUAAUACGUAGGGGGCAAGCGUUAUCCGGAUUCACUGGGUGUAAAGGGAGCGUAGACGGCGACGCAAGUCUGGAGUGAAAGCCCGGGGCCCAACCCCGGGACUGCUCUGGAAACUGCGUCGCUGGAGUACGGGAGGGGCAGGCGGAAUUCCUGGUGUAGCGGUGAAAUGCGUAGAUAUCAGGAGGAACACCGGUGGCGAAGGCGGCCUGCUGGACUGCAACUGACGUUGAGGCCCGAAAGCGUGGGGAGCAAACAGGAUUAGAUACCCGUGUA